rnacentral:misc_RNA from 1 species
AGACCGAGCUGCUGCUGAAGUUCCAUCUAUAAAUGGAUAAGACUUAGGUAUUAGUGUAUACGAGUUCUUGAAGGAGCAAUACCGCAUUUCUUGUUUUAGCAAGAGAGUUGGUAUUGCUCCUUCAUUUAGUUUCUAGUUUAGUAGUGUUUUAUUCACAUAAGAUAAGAAUCUUUUUCAGUUUAGUUUAUAUAUGUUUAUAUUAUAUAUAUAAUAUAAUAUAUAUAAAAUUAUAUAUAAAAUUAUAUAAAAUAUAAUAUAAAAUAGAAGUUACUCUUGUUUAUUUUUAAUUAAAUUUAAUUUAUAAAUUUAUAAGUAAUUAAAUUUUUGUAUUUUGUAUUAAAGUUAUAGGAUUAGGAUUUUAUGUCUAAGAUUUGAAUUUAUUUUAAAUUUAAAAUAAAUUCAAAUAAUUAAAUAACGAUGAAUUCUAAAAAGAAAGAUGGAAUCUAUUAAAUCCUUUAGAAUUUAGAAAAGAAAGAGUAGGGGCGGAUG